AUCGCAGUCUGCAACUCGACUGCGUGAAGUCGGAAUCGCUAGUAAUCGCGGAUCAGCAUGCCGCGGUGAAUACGUUCCCGGGCCUUGUACACACCGCCCGUCACACCAUGAGAGUCGGGAACACCCGAAGUCCGUAGCCUAACCGCAAGGGGGGCGCGGCCGAAGGUGGGUUCGAUAAUUGGGGUGAAGUCGUAACAAGGUAGC
rnacentral:rRNA from 1 species